AUACGUAGGUGGCGAGCGUUGUCCGGAAUUAUUGGGCGUAAAGAGCAUGUAGGCGGCUUAAUAAGUCGAGCGUGAAAAUGCGGGGCUCAACCCCGUAUGGCGCUGGAAACUGUUAGGCUUGAGUGCAGGAGAGGAAAGGGGAAUUCCCAGUGUAGCGGUGAAAUGCGUAGAUAUUGGGAGGAACACCAGUGGCGAAGGCUCCGUCCGGGACUGUGUCUGGGUCUGGGAGGCGAAAGCAAGGGUAGCGAACGUGAUUAGAUACCCCGGGAGUCCUGGCCGUGAACGAUGGGUACUAGGUGUAGGGGGUAGCGCCCCCUUCUGUGCCGGAGUUAAAACAAUAAGGACGCCGCCUGGGAAGUACGCUCUCAAGACGGAAACUUACAGGGAUUGACGGGG
rnacentral:rRNA from 1 species